rnacentral:rRNA from 11 species
UGAAGAGUUUGAUCAUGGCUCAGAUUGAACGCUGGCGGCAGGCUUAACACAUGCAAGUCGAACGAUGAAGCCCAGCUUGCUGGGUGGAUUAGUGGCGAACGGGUGAGUAACACGUGAGCAACCUGCCCUCCACUCUGGGAUAACUGUGGGAAACUUCAGCUAAUACCGGAUAUUCACUUUUCUCUUCAUGGGGUUUGGUGGAAAGAUUUUUUGGUGGGGGAUGGGCUCGCGGCCUAUCAGCUUGUUGGUGAGGUAAUGGCUCACCAAGGCGUCGACGGGUAGCCGGCCUGAGAGGGUGACCGGCCACACUGGGACUGAGACACGGCCCAGACUCCUA